AGUGCCGUGGUGUGAUCACAGCUCACUGCAGUCUCAACCUUCCUGGCUCAAGCGAUCCUCCCACCUCAGCCUCCCGAGUAGCUGAGACUACAGGCACUUGCCACCACACCCGGCUAAUUAAAUUUUUUGUUUUGUUUUCUUUUAGGGCUGGGGUGUCACUAUGUUGCCCAGGCUGCUCUAGAACUCCUGGGCUCAAGUGAUCCUCCUGCCUCUGCCUUCCAAAGUGUUGGGAUUACAGGCAUGAGCCACCAUGGCUAGUUUAAAUGGUUUUUCAGGGUCACAUAUCUCGGAAGAUAUGUGGGAUGUAAACCCAGCAGCCUGGCCCCAGAGCCCAUGGUCUUCAUGGCAGCAGCAUGUGUGCCGCCUCUCAUGUGUGCAAGUGAAUGAAGAAUGAAAGAGAGUUACACUCUCACCAAUGACCAGCUGCCUUCUGGGUGAAGUGAAACAAUACCGAGAAACAAGGAGGCCUGGUCCUACCAGGCCACAAAGCUGCUUGACUGUCUGCCUAGGGGAAAAGGAAUUCGGCCACAUGGUAGCCCACUGAUUGAGAAGAUGGAGGGGUUUCUGCAGAGUAAUCAAGGCCAAGAGAAAAAUUGCCACUAAGCCUGCCUUAGGAAGGUUCC